CGUGUGCAUGAUGACAUGCUUCUUGCAGCCUCGGAAGCUUUGGCCGCGCAGGUUUCGCAGGAGAACUUUGCUGAUGGACUUAUCUAUCCACCAUUCACGAACAUUAGAAAGAUAUCUGCUCACAUUGCUGCUAAAGUAGCGGCAAAAGUCUAUGAACUUGGUUUGGCUAGUCGUCUCCCUCGCCCGGAAAACCUGGUGAAAUAUGCGGAGAGCUGCAUGUAUACCCCCACCUAUCGCAGUUACCGAUAAAUUAACUAAAUAUCAAGCCUCCAUUUUUGUAGUAAAUAAGUAACAAUAUAGACAUUGUAAGUUUUUAUUUUAUUUUAUUUGGAUUGGCUGUCAGUUUAACAUUGGUUUUAAGUG
rnacentral:misc_RNA from 1 species